UAGGAGCCAUCUAAUGGAAACGUACAAAUUCUAUUGAAAGGUUCCAGAGUAGGCGCUACAACGCCGAAAUGACCUUCUCACCCUUGUGUACUCACUAUGUUGCUUUGGCGGGUCGACCUGGUUCCGACCCAGGCGGCCGGCGCCCCCAGCCUUAACUGGCCAGGACGCCCGGCUAAGUGCCCGCCAGUAUACAAAACUCAAGAAUUCAUUUUGUGAAGUCCUGAUAUAUCAUUUAAUUGAUUAAAACUUUCAACAACGGAUCUCUUGGUUCUGGCAUCGAUGAAGAACGCAGCGAAAUGCGAUAAGUAAUGUGAAUUGCAGAAUUCAGUGAAUCAUCGAAUCUUUGAACGCACAUUGCGCCCUCUGGUAUUCCGGAGGGCAUGCCUGUUCGAGCGUCAUUUCAACCCUCAAGCUCUGCUUGGUAUUGGGCAACGUCCGCUGCCGGACGUGCCUUGAAGACCUCGGCGACGGCGUCCUAGCCUCGAGCGUAGUAAUAAAAUAUCUCGCUUUGGAGUGCUGGGCGACGGCCGCCGGACAAUCGACCUUCGGUCUAUUUUUCCAAGGUUGACCUCGGAUCAGGUAGGGAUACCGCUGAACUUAAGCAUAUCAUACGGGGG
rnacentral:rRNA from 1 species